UACGGAGGGGGCGAGCGUUAUUCGGAAUUAUUGGGCGUAAAGCGCGUGUAGGCGGCUUUGCAAGUCGGGUGUGAAAGCCCUCAGCUUAACUGAGGAAGUGCGCCCGAAACUGCUUAGCUUGAGUGCCGGAGAGGAUGGCGGAAUUCCCCAAGUAGAGGUGAAAUUCGUAGAUAUGGGGAGGAACACCGGUGGCGAAGGCGGCCAUCUGGACGGUAACUGACGCUGAGACGCGAAAGCGUGGGUAGCAAACAGG
rnacentral:rRNA from 1 species